rnacentral:rRNA from 1 species
UGGGGAAUAUUGCACAAUGGGGGAAACCCUGAUGCAGCGACGCCGCGUGAGCGAAGAAGGUUUUCGAGUCGUAAAGCUCUGUCCUAUGAGAAGAUAAUGACGGUAUCAUAGGAGGAAGCCCUGGCUAAAUACGUGCCAGCAGCCGCGGUAAUACGUAUGGGGCGAGCGUUGUCCGGAAUUAUUGGGCGUAAAGGGUACGUAGGUGGUUUUUUAAGUCAGGUGUCAAAGCGUGGAGCUUAACUCCAUUAAGCACUUGAAACUGAAAGACUUGAGUGAAGGAGAGGAAAGUGGAAUUCCUAGUGUAGCGGUGAAAUGCGUAGAUAUUAGGAGGAAUACCGGUGGCGAAGGCGACUUUCUGGACUUUUACUGACGCUCAGGUACGAAAGCGUGGGGAGCAAACAGG